GAUGCACCUGAGUCUCUUAGCAAAGGGUCUGAAUACUUAUGUAAAUAAGUUCUGUUUUUUAUUUUUAAUUGUGCUAAAAUUUCAAAAGUUAUUCUGUUUAUAUUUAGGGCUGAGAUAUCCUAUGAAGGGACAAGGUCAGUUUAGGGCUGAGAUAUCCUAUGAAGGGACAAGGUCAGUUUAGGGCUGAGAUAUCCUAUGAAGGGACAAGGUCUGAAUAUCCACAAUCUUCACAUGAGCAGACAUUACAUAAAGAGAUUUUCCUCAUUUCAAAAUGACC